ACCAUCACUUAGCGCACGCGCACUAAAUUUGAAAAGAGAACGCCACACGAGGAGAGUCUUCUUGCGGUUGAUGAGAGACACAGCCAUCAUCACUAUUGUAGAUGCCUGCAGAAGGGAUGCCCUGUCCACUUAGAGCAAGAGUUCUUGAAUUUUUUAAACUGGUUGAGGAGAACAACUGCUUACAUACAUGUGCUUGCCUGUAGAAGCUAGGGGUGCUCUGUUUAUCUGGAACAUCAGUUCGUGGACUUGUCCUAAAGGUUGGUGAGAGACACUGCCUUCGUAGACACCAGAAGGGCUACUCUCUCUAUUUUGGACAAGAGUUCUUAGACUUUGAAAAGAAUUCCAAGAGUGCCUAGCACAGCCAAAGCAGUCUACCCUCAUUGUGCUACCAUCAACGGAGGUCUGGGAACCAGAAGACGUCAGCG